GAUGAACGCUGGCGGCGUGCCUAAUACAUGCAAGUCGAGCGAACAGACGAGGAGCUUGCUCCUCUGACGUUAGCGGCGGACGGGUGAGUAACACGUGGAUAACCUACCUAUAAGACUGGGAUAACUUCGGGAAACCGGCGCUAAUACCGGAUAAUAUAUUGCACCGCAUGGUUCAAUAGUGAAAGACGGCUUUGCUGUCACUUAUAGAUGGAUCCGCGCCGCAUUAGCUAGUUGGUAAGGUAACGGCUUACCAAGGCAACGAUGCGUAGCCGACCUGAGAGGGUGAUCGGCCACACUGGAACUGGGACGCGGUCCAGACGCCUGAGGGAGGCAGCAGUAGGGAAUCUUCCGCAAUGGGCGAAAACCUGACGGAGCAACGGCGCGUGAGUGAUGAAAGUCUUCGGAUCGUGAAACUCUGUUAUUAGGGAAGAACAAAUGUGUAAGUAACUAUGCACGUCGUGACGGUACCUGAUCAGAAAGCCACGGCUAACUACGUG
rnacentral:rRNA from 1 species